AUUGAACGCUGGCGGCAUGCCUUACACAUGCAAGUCGAACGGUAACGGGCCUUCGGGUGCCGACGAGUGGCGAACGGGUGAGUAAUGUAUCGGAAUGUACCUUUCAGUGGGGGAUAACGUAGCGAAAGUUACGCUAAUACCGCAUAUUCUGUGAGCAGGAAAGCAGGGGAUCGCAAGACCUUGCGCUGAUUGAGCGGCCGAUAUCAGAUUAGCUAGUUGGUGAGGCAAAGGCUCACCAAGGCGACGAUCUGUAGCGGGUCUGAGAGGAUGAUCCGCCACACUGGAACUGAGACACGGUCCAGACUCCUACGGGAGGCAGCAGUGGGGAAUUUUGGACAAUGGGGGCAACCCUGAUCCAGCCAUGCCGCGUGAGUGAAGAAGGCCUUCGGGUUGUAAAGCUCUUUCGGCCGGGAAGAAAUCGUAUCAGCUAAUACCUGGUGCGGAUGACGGUACCGGUAUAAGAAGCACCGGCUAACUACGUGCCAGCCGCCGCGUAAAAC
rnacentral:rRNA from 1 species